UACUUAGUGGCGGACUGGUGAGUAACGCGUGAGGAACCUGCCUUUCAGAGGGGGACAACAGUUGGAAACGACUGCUAAUACCGCAUGACACAUCGAAGGGGCAUCCCUUUGAUGUCAAAGAUUUUAUCGCUGAAAGAUGGCCUCGCGUCUGAUUAGCUAGUUGGUGAGGUAACGGCCCACCAAGGCGACGAUCAGUAGCCGGACUGAGAGGUUGACCGGCCACAUUGGGACUGAGAUACGGCCCAGACUCC
rnacentral:rRNA from 1 species